rnacentral:ncRNA from 1 species
UGCGAUGAGCCGAGGCGGUUGACUUAGGUCAACUACUCAACAGAGGCACAAGAGGAAACUCACCUGCCGGAUUUGCAGGGUGUCGGAUGGGAACUAUGUGGAAAUGG